rnacentral:rRNA from 1 species
UGAGGAACAUGACCUUCGGCGGGGGAGUAGCCGGCCCAACGGCCGGGUAAUACCGCGUACGACCACUUUGGGACAUCCCUAGGUGGUGAAAGCAGCAAUGCGCCGAUGGAGUGCCUCGCGGCCUAUCAGCUAGUUGGUGAGGUAACGGCUCACCAAGGCGACGACGGGUAGCUGGUCUGAGAAGAUGGCCAGCCACAUUGGGACUGAGACACGGCCCAGACUCCUACGGGGAGGCAG